rnacentral:rRNA from 1 species
AGCGAACGCUGGCGGCAGGCAUAACACAUGCAAGUCGAACGAAGUCUUCGGACUUAGUGGCGGACGGGUGAGUAACACGUGGGAACGUGCCUUUAGGUUCGGAAUAACUCAGGGAAACCUGUGAUAAUACCGAAUGUGCCAUUCGGGGGAAAGAUUUAUCGCCUUUAGAGCGGCCCGCGUCUGAUUAGCUAGUUGGUGAGGUAAAGGCUCACCAAGGCUACGAACAGUAGCUGGUCUGAGAGGAUGACCAGCCACAUUGGGACUGAGACACGGCCCAAACUCCUACGGGAGGCAGCAGUGGGGAAUCUUGCGCAAUGGGCGAAAGCCUGACACAGCCAUGCCGCGUGGAUGAUGAAGGUCUUAGGAUUGUAAAAUCCUUUCACCGGUGAAGAUAAUGACUGUAGCCGGAGAAGAAGCCCCGGCUAACUUCGUGCCAGCAGCCGCCGUAAUAC